CUACCAUGCAGUCGACGGAAUGCGGAGUAGUUUACUAUUGACGGAUUUUAGUGGCGGACGGGUGAGUAACACGUGGGCAACCUGCCUUAUAGAGGGGGAUAACACCGAGAAAUCGGUGCUAAUACCGCAUAACAUUAGAAAGUCGCAUGACUUUGUAAUCAAAGGAGAAAUCCGCUUUAAGAUGGCCCGCGCCUGAUUAGCUAGUUGGUGGGGUAGAAGCCUACCAAGGCGACGAUCAGUAGCCGAUCUGAGAGGAUGAACGGCCACACUGGAACUGAGACGCGGUCCAGACUCCUACGGGAGGCAGCAGUGGGGAAUAUUGCACAAUGGAGGAAACUCUGAUGCAGCAACGCCCGCGUGGAGGGACGAAAGGUUUUUCGGAAUGGUAAAACUCCUGUUCUUUU
rnacentral:rRNA from 1 species